GCUGGGCGUGGUGGCACAUGCCUGUAAUCCUAGCUACUUGGGAGGCUGAGGCAGAAGAAUCGCUUGAACCUGGGAGGCGGAGGUUGCAGUGAGCUGAGAUCAUGCCACUGCACUCCAGCCUGGGUGACAGAGCGAGACUCUGUCUCAA
rnacentral:SRP_RNA from 1 species